rnacentral:misc_RNA from 1 species
AAGUCGUAACAAGGUUUCCGUAGGUGAACCUGCGGAAGGAUCAAUAGCGAGAGAGAGUGGGGGGGGUGAGUGAGUGAGUGAGCGAAAGCGAGCGAGCGAGCGAGCAAGCCUACCUGAGUUGGGGGAGAGAGUGGGAGGUGGAAUGUGGUCGGGUAGAUUAGUGUGGGUCGAAGGGCUCGUGUGGGUCGAGAGGCCCAUGCGGGUCAAAAGGCUCGUGCAGAUCCAUGGACCACGUGCCGCCCCAGCUUGCUUCCAACAACAUUUACGCGUGAUAGAGUAUGACAGAGUAAAUGACAAGGAGAAAAAAGACAACUUUUAACAAGGGAUCUCUUGGCUCUU